rnacentral:misc_RNA from 1 species
GUCCUCACAUGGAUCAACCUCCUGCCAUAAGAAAAUAAUUCCAAUCAAAUUGCAAAAUAGUACAAGUCAUAUACCAACAAAGUCCAUCUCAUAUUAUCCAAAGAGUAUUUGUUUAACCGCUCAUGCAACUAAAUUUGAUCUACUAAGCUAAUGCCCAUCACAUAAACUUCGCAUUGUUUAAAACAGGAAACAAAAAAUGAAAGAAAAAAAAGUAAUAUCCAAUUCAAGGGUAUUUAAAAAAGGGAG